ensembl:lncRNA LINC01205 long intergenic non-protein coding RNA 1205
AGUUGCUUCCUGGCUGCUUUACGGUCGAUUUGCAGGCAGUCCGCUUUGUACAAGCCAUGGUAUAGAGGCUUCCUUAUUUACCUCCCUUAUCCUUCAGCUGGAGCUCUGCGAGCCAGAGGCAGCGCUGGCGUUGGAGAGUGAUGGCGGCAUGGCGGUGCGGCGGCGGCUGCGAACACCUUGAGGACGGGUCGCAUUAUGUUGCCCAGGCUGGACUUGAACUUCUGGGCUCGAGCAAUUCUCCCACCUCAGCCUACCAAGCAGCUGGGACUACAGGUCUGCACCACUGCACCCCACCCAUUCAAGUCCACAUCCCCAGAAACGAGGAUAAUGCUUGGCACAAGGGUCUUGCUCUGUUGCCCUGGCUGGAGUGCGGUGGCAUGAUCUUGGCUUACUGCAACCUUCGCCUCCUGGGUUCAAGUGAUUCUCCUGCCUCAGCCUCCCGAGUAGCUGGGAUUACAGGCAUGUGCCAUCAUGCCAUCACCCCUGGCUAAUUUUUGUAUUUUUAGUAGAGAUAGGGUCUCACCAUGUUGGCCAGGCUGGUGUCAUGUCUCUUUAGUUUCCUUCAAUGCUUAGUUUUUUCCUCAUUUUUCAUGAUCUUGCCAUUUUUGAAAAGGAUAGGUCAGUUAUUUUAUAGUAUUUCCCUCAAUUUGGGUUUGUCUGAUGUUUCUUCAUGUCUAGAUUCAGAGUAUGGAUUUUUGGUAAGAAUGCUAUAGAAGCAAUACGAUUUUCCUCUCAAUGCCUCACAUUAGGAAGCACAAAAUACCAAUUUUCCUCAUUAAUAAUGAUAGUAACUUUUUUCACACUGUUAAGAUGAUGUUUAUAUUUCUCCACUGUAGAGUUCAUUAAUAACAGAUAUUUUAUUGAGCUUUACUUUUAAAUUUUAUACAUAUGUAUCUUUUUUUCAUCAAAAUUUUAAUGAGCUUAACAUCUAUGGAUAAUUCUUGUCUGAAUAAUUUAUUACAGCAGUGGUUGCUGAGUGUUAUUUUCUAAUUCUUUUUUUUCCUUUUUUGAGAUGGAGUCUCACUGUGAUGCCGAGGGUGGAGUGCAGUGGCACAAUCUCAGCUCACUGCAACCUCCGUUUCCUGGGUUCGAGUGAUUCUCCUGCCUCAGCCUCCUGAAUAGCUGGGAUUACAGGCACCUGUCACCAUGCCUGGCUAAUUUUUGUAUUUUUAGUAGAGAUGGAGUUUUACUAUGUUGGCCAGGCUUGUCUCAAACUCCUGGCCUUAAGUGAUCUGCCCAUCUCAGCGACCCAAAGUGCUGGGAUUACAGGUGUGAGCCACCAUGCCCGGCCUUGUUAUUUUCUAAUUUGAUCAUUUCUUGUACAUUUAUUAGUUGGCAUUGUACUAUAAGAUAGAUCUUUUCUUUGAAUAUCAGUAUGGGCUUAUGGAUUCUUAUUUUAUUGAAUCAGUUAUGCUCUAUUAUUAUCCUUAACUAUUACUUAUUACAGCUUUAUUGAUGUAUAUUUGACAUACAAGAAAUUGCAUAUACAUAAAGUGAAAAGUUUGAAGAAUUUUGUGUACCUAUAAAGUGAAUAAACUGUUACACUAAUCAGUGAAAUAAAUAUUUUCAUUAAUCCCUAAAA